CUAGAGUCGAUUGAGUUGUAGUUGCUCUGCCAUUAUGGUUUUGAGGAGUGUCUGUAGAGGACUGUGGCUGAUUCUAAAUGCACCGACCUCUGAUAGAGAAUCCACGUUUCAUUGUACAAUAUAUUUGUUCAUGUGUCCAUCGAUGUCUUGUCUUCUCCGUGAUCGACAUGAACAAUGGAAGCGACCUACAGUAAAUGCAUCUCGAAGGUACUUUUAAUUGUUUUAAUUCAGCAAGUCAUGUUUCAAUUUAUUAUUUGUGCACUUGUCUUAAUCUAAUUUGUCUGAUUCUUUUGGUCCUCUGGUGGUCUGGUGGUGUUCAAGUGUGAAAGUUUUUCGUUGCCAAUUGCCUUGUGACAAUUCCUAAUACUUAAGUGAAUCCCCACGACAUGAUGGGAGUGACAAACCUUUAGAGAGUGAAGGUAGCUUUUUAUGUCUUUUCCUAGUCACUUAUGUUCUGAUUUUUGUCUUUGGAAGUGGAUGGAAUACUUUAUGACAGUGCACAUACAUUUGAGCAGAUGAAUAUGCUAUCCUCUGUUUUUUUUUAUCAGUUUAUACUUUAUGACAGUGCACAUACAAUGACUUGGUUCUGUUGUUGUCUUUAAGAGCCUAAUUUCAAAGACUGAACUCAUAGAUGGGCUUUUGACUACUUGUUUUGUUGUGUUAGUCUCUCAGUAAUUAUGGUAUUGAUCCUUCUCUUUUUGGCCAAAACGUAUUGUUGUUAUGCAGCUCCACUCUGUAACUGGUGUGGAACAUGGAAAGGAGAUAAAAUUUGUGGUAGCUGCAGAGAAGCACGAUACUGCUCUGAAAAAUAUCAGGCCAUGCAUUGGCGCUCAGGUGUGCCAAAAUAGUAGUAGAAAUGCAGGAAACUCAUCAGCAGAACACCACAAAUCUGCAAGCAGGAGUCUAUGGCCUGAACACAAGAUUGUCAAUGAGGAUGGGGCUAAAUAUGAUGUCAAUGUGUCUGCUGAUUUGGAUAAUACCAAUUGUCUGGUAUCCAGAAACCAGAUGGAUGACUCAAUAAAUUCACUUAUUGAGAGUUUCCAGGCCUUGAUUGCAAUUGUUGCUAGCUUGGAAAUCAUCCACCGUGGGAUUUGGAAUUCUUUUAGUGCGAAAGGAGGACUUGGCUUUGCCAAAUAGAAGUGGGGACUACAGCUGUGAAGUCCCCAAAUGCUUGCAAUUGGAUUCACCGGAGAAGGAGAUGGAUGUGAGUUCGACAUCCAAAUUUUUUUAGAAAAUCGAAGGGAAGAGAGCGAGAAUCGAAAUCCUUCCGGUCUUUUGGAAAUUCCGCUCCCCUCAUUUCUCCCUCCCGCAUUCGUCCUGAGCUCGCAACUCCGACUCAACUCCCCGCAUGGCGAGACUCAAGCAAGUUGCUCACUAUGCUAAUUGGGCGAGUCGCUUUCGUCUCGGUUCUCUCUCGACAUGUACUCUAUUGGUUCUUCAUCUUCGUCAUGAGCAAAGCGCGUCGCUUUUCAAAAACCUUGGUCGUUCAAGGUGCUAACGAAGUAACAAUUGGUCUCUCUCUAUGCAAUGUAGGCUCCACCCACCCCUUGCCGUCGCCGGCGUCAGCGUCGGCGUCGCCCCAUCCAAUCUCCGUACGUCUCUCUCCAAUCCCCUUUUUGUUCCUUUUGCUCCUCUGUUCCUUCUCUCCUUUCUCCUCAACCAUCAAGAGGUCAAGUUAAGCCAAAAGAUUCAUCUUGGAGUAUUUUUGUUUUACUUUUGUCAAUGCGAUUGCCGGCAGAUCUAGUGCGAUGCGCGAUUUGGCUAGUUUUUCGCUGUAUGUUUUCUGCUUUGAACUAUUUUAUGGGAGUGCAGAAAGAGAGCGAAAGGACUUUUGAGUCACAGGAAUUGGACAACUCGUCUCUUUUCUCUAUGUAUUUUUACUGAUUUUCAAUGUGAGUCCCGAUGUCUCUUUUGCCUCCAUCAAAUGGCGAAGAGUCCCAGUACGAGUACAAGGCUCAGGAGAAUGCCAAAAAAAAGUGCCUUUCCAAUGAUUGAAUCGUAAUGAAUCCUGUUUUUACUUUGUCUAGCGAUGCAUCUCGAUUAUGACAAAGUUCAAUGCUAGCAGAGCGCUUCCAAGAGUCUUGGAACCUCAUCAUACUAAGAGCUUGAGGGACGAGGAAAGAAAUAUAUCAAUUAUUCUGCUAGCAUUGAACUUUGUCAUAAUCAACAUGAACCAAGAUGCAUUGCUGGGCAGAGUGAAAAUAUGAUUCAUUAGACUCACUCAUUGGAAAUGCACUUUUUCUCGGCAUUUUCCUGGGUCUAGUACUCGUGCUGGGACUCUUCGCCAUUGAUGGAGGCAAAUUCGCCAUUGAUGGAGGCAAAAGAGAGAAAUCAGACUCACAUUUGUCCAAUUCCUGUGGCUCAAAGUCCUUUAGUCUCUUACUACACUCCCAUAAAGUAGUUUAAAGCAUACAGCGAAAAAUUAGCCAAAUUGCACAUCACACUAGACUUGCCGGCAAUCGCAUUAACUAAACUAAAACAAACAUGAUAAAUUUUUUGGCUUAACUCGACCUCUUGAUGGUUGGAGAGAAGAAACAGAGAAGCAAAAGGAACAAAAAGGGAAAUUGGAGAGAGAUGUACGGAGCUUGGAUAGGGCGACACUGGCGAUGGCAAGGGGUUGGCGGAGUCUACAUUGACAGACCGAUUGUUACUUCGCUAGGACCUGAAACGACCAGGUUUUUUAAAAGCGAUGCAUUCGCUCACGACGAAGACAAAAAACUAGUAGAGUACAUGUCGAGAGAGAACGAGACGAAAGCAACUCGCCCAAUUGGCAUGGUGAGCAACCCGCCAUGUGGGGAGUCGAGUCAGAGGUCGCGAGCAAGCUCAAAGACGAAUGCAGGAGGGAGAAAAUGAAGAGGGGAGCGGGAUUUCCAGAAGAACGGUAGGAUUUCGAUUCUCGCUUUCUCUCUCUUCCCCUUCGAUUUUCUUUUCCCAACCACCUCGAGGGAAUCAGCUGUCGAGGAAAGUUGUUCAGAAUGUUCAUCUAUCUAGUGGAAGCAUGUGAGGAGUUUCACGUGGAGGACCCAGUAUUCCUGAAAUUGUGGACACUAUGGAGGUAACCUUCAUUUGGUGGAAAAGAUGUUGCAGUAAUAGCAGGUCUAUCCAUUUUGCGGUUAGUAAUCUUGCUGUUGAAAGUUCUGGUGUUUAUGAAUUUGCUUAUCAAUGCAGAAAAGAGGCAUCAACAUGCUUUUUGUCUUAGGUGGGAAUGGUACACAUGCUGGGGCAAAUGCUAUCCAUAAUGAGUUACUCUUGACCUCCAUGCUUGGUAAGAUCACCCCAGUUAUUUUUUGUAAUUAGUAGAGUCAAAAUUGUGAUUUGACAUAUGCAUUCUCUGUGUACUACCUAGUGAUAAUGAUGAAUAGUUGUCUUUAUCUAUUAGUUUGUCAUAUGUUCUGAAGCUAGUUAACUGGGGUGAUUUGGGCAAAUGUAUGCUCGAAUGCAUCACACAGAUUUGUUUGAGUGUAUCUCAUCCUCUCCACAUUCCUAUGAGGUUUCUCGUGUCAUUGUGGCAAAUAAUGGCAUAGUAGCACCAAAUGAUCUGCAGCCAA